rnacentral:rRNA from 1 species
CCAAUAGCGUAUAUUAAAGUUGUUGCAGUUAAAAAGCUCGUAGUUGAAUUUCGGGAUCAAUAUAUCGGUCGUGCCUUGGUACGUACUGGUAUCAUUGGUUUCUCCUUUCUGACGAACCAUGAUGUCAUUAAUUUGGUGUUAUGGGAAGUUAGGACUGUUACUUUGAAAAAACUAGAGUGUUUAAAGCAGGCUUUAGCUUGAAUACAUUAGCAUGGAAUAAUGAAAUAGGACGUUCGAACCUAUUUUGUUGGUUUCUAGGAUCAACGUAAUGAUUAAUAGGGAUAGUUGGGGGCAUUAGUAUUCAAUUGUCAGAGGUGAAAUUCUUGGAUUUAUUGAAGACUAACUACUGCGAAAGCAUUUGCCAAGGAUGUUUUCAUUAAUCAAGAACGAAAGUUAGGGGAUCGAAGACGAUCAGAUACCGUCGUAGUCUUAACCAUAAACUAUGCCGACUAGGGAUCGGAUGAUGUUAAUUUUUUAAUGACUCAUUCGGCGCCUUACG